UACGGAGGGGACUAGCGUUGUUCGGAAUUACUGGGCGUAAAGCGCACGUAGGCGGAUUUGUAAGUCAGGGGUGAAAUCCCGGGGCUCAACCUCGGAACUGCCAAGUGAUACUGUUGUGCUAGAGUGCAGAAGGGGCAACUGGAAUUCUCGGUGUAGCGGUGAAAUGCGUAGAUAUCGAGAGGAACACCUGCGGCGAAGGCGGGUUGCUGGGCUGACACUGACGCUGAGGCGCGAAAGCCAGGGGAGCGAACGGG
rnacentral:rRNA from 1 species